CCCUGGCGCCGGGCCGCGGGGAGCCCUCCCCGGCACAUCUCGGGCCUGUCACGGAGGGGGGGGGUGGAGGAGGAGGGGGGACACGGGACACGACGGCUUCUGCCGUCCCUCUGCUCCCUCCCUCGGCUGGAGAGCGGAGAACCGGCCGCCGGGGCGUGAGGCCGCCACCCGGGACCCGGCCGGGCGUGGUUUGGGGUUUGGAGACCCGCUCUGGCGGGUCGGCAGGAGCUUUUUACCGUGGAACGGGGGGGUCGGUGUCACGGAGGAGGUGCCUUCCCCUCUGGCGCCGCUUCCCCGGCGUGCAGUGUCAGCCCAGCCCUGAAGUUGGUCGCCUGCGACCAUUUUGCCUCUCCCCCAUCCUUUCCCUCCCGAAGUCUCACUGAAUAAUUCAUUCCCGCAGCUCCCUUUGGCAGGGUAAUGUCUGAACCAGCUAAAGUCUCUUUUCUGCGUUUAUUUAAGGGAAGAAUCAGUGAGAACGCGUAUCACCAACGAAAAUGAAGAUUCACUCCAGUUAAAAACCUUAAUCUAUUAUCAGAGACACAUAGGAUAGAAAAGAUAAGGACACAGGAUUGACAGCUCUAAAAUGGAAAUUGCAUAACAUUGCUGAGAACAAGUUCUGAUCCUAAAUUAGAAGAACGAUCCAUACUUUGGCUGAGGGAAUGGCAGUGUCCACUACUGGCAAACUUCUCUCAAAUCUCAGGCUUGUCAUCCUCUCUGAUUUUCAUAGCAAUGCUAGAUACAGAAAUUUCUCCAGUUACUGCUGAAUCUUCAAACUCCCUUCUUCAGAAAAGCAUUAAAAAAGUAAUGAAAAAUAAAUUCAGACAUCUGAAAUCAACCUUCAGCAUGGAGAUGCCGAGUAAGUCUGGAUUAAUAGAUAUCAGAGGACAGAUCACCUCAAAAACCUGAACAGAACACAGUCAUACACGUGCAUCCCAAAUUGUCUUAAUUUACAAAAGAGGAAUGAAACUUAACGGAUCAGUAAAUCAAGAUAGUGGGAUGAUACUAAUGGCACAACUGCCCCUUUAUAUCUCCAGCUCACUAGAAACUGCUGCUCCCCAAAGAAGACAACCUGGUUGAAGCAAUCUGGCUACAUAUCUUCUCCAUCCAGGACUGUGGUAAACCUUAUAUGUGAAAAGCAUACACACCUAAGAAUGAAUAAAAAUGUAGAAAUAGUUUGGUUAUCAUGUGACAUGCCAAAAUCUGUCUCAGUUUGUGCCUGCAAAGCUCUAGUUUGUUUUCAUUGCAGGUUUUCAAAGACCUGGUUACUCCAGAGGCACAUCCGUCUCCAGGAGUCCUCUAAGACCACUGCAUUAUUCUGAGCAAGGCAAAGCCCACAGGACGGUGAAGAUGUGGUGCAGCACAAAGCCUGCCACAGCCUGCCAGGCAGCACAUCAGCCACCAUCAAUACAAAGGUGCCUGAAGGCACCCUGUGGAAAGAAGCCUUUUUCCAAGAGAAUUGCAAGACAACCUGCUGGAUUUUUUGUUUGUCUUUGAAUGCCACCAAACUUAAGUAGAAAAACAGAUGAGAGGAAAAGACAGAGUCUAAAUUUACAGGGCUACCUGAGUUGCAUGGAAAGAAGUGUUCAUUUUAUUAGAAAUGAAUCCACUGCACCCUCUUCUACUGUUACUUUUCAAUACUGUUUAAGAAUCGGUACACAGAUGAAGAGCAGAUGCUUCCUUUCGAUUAGUCUUAAUGCAACUCAUUUACUUAAAAACAAACAAACAAAAAAUCCCAACACAUCAACUUGACCAGCAUUUGCACUGUAUUCUCCCACUGGACACCUGCAUCCUUAGGUCUUCAUUUUCAGCUGUACAGUCUGCGUAUGCAACUACAUCACACUACCAUGAUGAAUCGUUGUUGUAGGGAUCAUCUGUUCCAUUUGUACAUUCUAAAUAAAGAAGAGGAACACUUCUGAGUUGUUAUUUAAAAUGUAAGCUCUUGGCAAAUUGGUGGAUCAAAUGUGAUGAAGUAAGUGGACUUGUCCUGCGUCUACCUACGUAUUUUCUGUGGCAUCACUACUCCGUGAACGGACUAUGAAGUGCUUCAGUUCUCUGGCACUGCAGCCUGGAGAUUGUCCCGUCCACACAUCCGACGUGGCAGUGAGUUGCUACAUUGCUCUUUUACAAGGAACCAAGGAACAAGUUCAAGGAGAAACGCGCACUGCGUUGCGAAGCGGCAGCACAACAGGCUGAUGGGUGAGAAAUGCCAGAAGCGGCUAAAGCAGCAACAGCUGCCCUGGGAGGAACAAAGAAACGGGUCACUGUUGUAAGCCAGAGCACAUGUCUGCGUGGGUCUCCUACCCCGUCAGAGCGAAGAUUAGAUGGUACCUCCCGACACGAGUGCACAAGAACCCACAGUGCCUCGGGGGAGGGGGAAUGGAGGGAGAUGCCAGAUGGCAAAUCCAACCAAGAGAAACCACUGGAAAAGCUACCCAGGCUGUCACCAGCCAACAAAUACAUUCUCCCUUUAACCAUUUCUGGGGCAAUUCAGGUGUUCAGAUUGUUUAUCGUUCAGAGCCAGCAUAACAAAGCCUCACUCUCAGCUGCUCACAGACAUGUCUAACAGCAACACAAAGAGUAAAAAGGAACUUUAUUGCUAAAUAACUCAGCUAGGUGAAACCUAGCCAAGACUAUAUAGAAUAAGUCACUAAUGCUACUUCAAGCAUGAGAGGCUAAAAUGACAGUAAUCUAAACAGAAGGAAUAUCAACUAGAGUAUGAGCAGGAACACCGACGAUUAGGUGCAAUUUGAACACACCUUUUAGAAGGAACUCAGGAGACUUGUCCAAGCCCAGUGAGUCUGUCUUUGUGCACUCGCAUACACACACAGCACUGCUACCACAACAGCUGCUCCAGAGAUACUCUUGAGCAAACAGAGCUCCUACUGCAGGCUGAGCGUUGAAAGGAACAACUUCAACAGGAGCGAACAAGAACAGUUCCAUCAGAGGGUAUAUUGUAACUUAGGAGGUAAAGCAACAUGGUAGGAGAUGUAGGGUGAAAUCACUUGAUGGGUAAAAGAAAGACUAUCCAUGCCGAGAUGCUUGAUGAGGGGAAAGAAAGCCACCAGCUUAUUUUCUGGUUGUUUUUUAAGAGAUUGAUGCAAGAACCACCCAACGGGGCUUAAGCAAAGGAGCGACCCACACUGCUGAACGCCGCCUGCACACAGUUUUGGAGGCUGAAGAAUGCUAAAAGCCUCAGUGCCUGUAGGCUAAGAGGAAACUGACUGGAGAGCUUCUGAAUAUCUAAAUUUUGGGCUUAGAUGGUUUUCAAGAAAGCUAAGCACAUAAGUCCUUCUCUAAAUGGAGCCCUCCUUUUGAAAAAAGGUGUCGCUGUGGAAUGCCAUGAGGUUCUAUGGAGGUUUUAGGGUGUGCUUCUGUUCCGUGGUACAAAACCUAAGCCAGGGAGAAGGCCACAGAGAAAAGCAGAACACACUAGUGUAAAACAGUGUUAAAUGAGACCAAAACCUGUACCACAACCAGAGAUGUCUGUAAAGACUGGAUGUUCUUUGACGCAUUACGUAACACAUUGCAGCAAAACAUUCAGUUGCUUCCAGGACUCUGACCAGUAACAAAAAUUAAGUUAUUUUUAAAAGAGUUGAACCUAUGACUUUAAGCAUUAUGCUGAAUAAAUUUUUUUCCACCUCACUUCCUGUAUAUGAAAAUGCAUUAUUAAAAGUAGCACUGGAUCACUUUAUAUUUUGUUUAAAAAUAAACGUCCUUUAACUUCUUUAAUUUUUUUCUGUGAAGGAUAUAAGGGUGAGAUAAGAGGAAGCUGAAAAAUUACCAUCAAAACUCUUUGAAAUGGAAAUUGCCUAAUAAAAGAUUAUCAGUGAUAACAGAUGAUUUGCAGAAUGUGACAGUGCAUCAUGGAAAUGGUUUUUGAAAUGCUGGUGAACACAAGCCUCUAAAAUAGAUUUUUAUUGCUUUGGCAUGUCCAAAAGAUCUUGUCUUCCCUUACUGCACUUUUCAAGUAAGUCUAUGCAUGCUAAGAUUGGCAAUUUACCCAGUACAUUCAUGAAAAAUUAAUGAUUUUCAAAGAAUAUGUAAGUACUGCAGCAGGCAUGACUUCGCAGUAAACAGUAAAAAACGAGUGCUAUUGUUCUCUGGACUUUGAUUUGUAAAAAUUUGAAGUAAUAAAACAAGGUUUCUAAAAUAUCUAUAAAAUUUUGAAGAUUCCAGAUUGUGCUUGGACUUCAAGGUUUCAGACAUGUACAAGUUAAUCACAAACCUCAGCAGAGUGGAUUCAGUGAGGGGGGUGAGGGAAUGAGGAUAGUGCCUGUAAGAAACUGUUUUCCUUUCAGAUCACUGUCAGACUUUGCAGUCUUGUCCUUUUUUUGUGUAAAAUAUUACCAGUGUGACCUGCUUUUGCUAUUAAAGUGUCUUCCAAUGAGAGCAAGAGAAGACAUCCUAGCAACAAAAAGACAAUAUUGAUUUUUAGUUAAUUUAACAUUUUACAUGUUUGGAGUUGUAUUUAUGUGCAUUGCUCAGUCAUGUGUGUUAGUUCUGCCUUUGGAAUUACGCACUUUUUGGUGUUUGCCUAGACUUGUUUAAUUUGUUCUUCCAGUUACACCAGUGCAUUUCUCUAAUUGCAUUGCAGCAAAAUCAAAUCUGGGUGCGGCUGAGCAGUAACGCCAGGGCUCAGCACAGGCUGGAGGGGUGCUGGGAGCUGUCGGGGGUCUUGGGGGGUGCAGCUGGGCAGUGUGUGGCCACUGAGGGCCAUCCCACCACCCCAGCCAGGGUCCUCAAGUGCCCUCCCACGCCACAUGCCCUCCGUGCAGGUAGCAGCCACAAACACCCUCUGUGUCUCAUGGUGACUUUGAUGGAGAGCAUCAACUCAUUCACAGCAGUGUCAAGACACGCAAGAUGUCCCUUUCUGUCAUCCACAUCAUCCCUUGCAGCCUGCUACAGAGCUGUUUUAUCUCAGAAAUACGUACACAUCAGGAAGAGGGGAAUUCUUUUAAUAACACAAGGAGCGUUAACAGAGUUUUCCUCCUACCACGGCUUCUGGGUUUGCAUCCUUUAUGUGCUUGGAGAGUGGAUACCAAGCUGAAGGUGUGCAAUUCUCGGAGUCAACAAACGUGGGCUUCGCAGAGGCGCUGAAGCUGACACUAGUUUUCACACUUACCACCUGCAGAAUGUGUGAGAGAAAAGCCUACGUAUGGUAUAGGGACCCCAGCUAGUUCAUUUUUUCAGCUCUCAUGUCAGCAAUAGCAGAGAGAGAUUGAUCAGGGCAUGCUGUAACAGUGAUAAAGUGGGAGAAGAGGAUCCAGCAGGGCGAGCUGCAUGCCAGGCACCCCCGAUCGUGGUCCCUGGCCCUGACACUGCAAGGUGAAGCUCCCUCCGCGCCAGACCCCAGUCUUACAGGGACAUCCUCUGGUACGGCGAGGGCGUUAGUUGCGGUGAUAUGGAGGCUGCAGAGUGAAAGAAAGCGAGGAGAGAAGCAGCCUUUUAUAGCAGCUUUAUAGCAGAGCGGAUUCGGUCCACAAGAGGCACGUGGUUCUUGGUGAUGGGGAAUUGCACAGAAAUAGCCUUUUCACAAAUUUCUACUGAGCUGCUAAAACAACCACUCUAAAACCUUGUUAUUUCAAAACCCUACAGCUAGGGAAUUUGUCAGUGAAAUUUGCUGUGGUCCAGAUGCGUGACAGAUAGAAGGGAGACACUGAAUGUUUACACCAAUCCCCUCCUACACAACCCUUAUCUCCUUACCCAGACUUCUGUAUUCUGUACUUCCAGUGCCGAAUUCCCCAAUUUCAAUCUGCAGGGAGCAGCAGGAACAGGUUCAGUUUUGUCCUAAAGUGAGGGAACACUGCUACGUAUUGUGUGUUCACCUCAAGGUUGCUUUGAUCAAAAGGAAUAUGUAACCCACUGCUUAGCAUGUUAGAGGGUCCCCUUCUGUGUCUUACCCAGAGGAAGGUGCUAGUUGUUAGUCACUGAUUACAGAAAGCAGUUGAUGGAAGUAGGCCAGAAAUUCCUCAAUUCCCUGUAUGUCACCCAUAAAAAGAAAAAAAAAAAAAAACCAGAAAAAACCCCAAACAAUAAACAAACCAAAACCUAACAAAAACCUCACCAAAACACAGACUUUUUGAAUCAGUACUAUGUAGACCUGACACUUCAAAUAACUCAUAUGUCUGUGCAAAGUGCAACAACGGCUUAAAUAAACAUUUAGUUUUUCUAAACCAAAUUGUGACUAAACGUCGGUUCUGUAUUUGAAAAACAGAGUGGUGACUGGCUUGCGUCCAGACUGAACUUCUGAGUCUGUGAAAAUUUCAACCAGUGAUUUCAGUUUGUAUUAAUUACAGAAAUGAAGGAUUCAAGCUCCUUCAUAUCUGGGCAAGUUGGUUGCUUUUGUCUUUAAUAAAAAUAGCUUUCCCAGUUAGGAAAUAGGUGCAGGGAGUACCACAGGAAUAAUUCUCUAAAGAAUCCCUCCAAUAGCAAUAGUGAUGACAAGAAUUUUAACUGGUUUCAAGAGGCAGCUACUACCUACAUUUUAUGAAACUGGGACCAUCUACAACAAUAUAGGUCUGGCCUCUAAAAUCUAGAAAGCCAUUUUUACCUGGUUAAAUAUAUUUCACCCUCUGAAAGGCUAAAAAAAGCCCUAAAGAAAGUAUUCAUUUCAACAGGCUUUGAAUGAGCCGCCAGAAGAUAUCUGAACGUCACUGUGUCACUUUUUCAGUCAUCUAACACUCGCCCUUCAUAUUCUUAAGACUGUCUUCCCUGAUACUUGAGUCAUUUAUGCACUAUACCAUGAAUGUUUCCAUAAUUAGGAAGAAAAGAAUUUCUAUUAUUCCUAUUUAACGAGGUACAGAAGCUAUUCUUUGACACAUACAGUGAAUGAAUCCUUUUUAGAUAAACAAACAGCUUUACCUGAAUUUUCUACUUACUUCCUUCUCCUGUCAUAUGACAGACGAUUUCAUGGCAUUUCUGGUAUAGUUUGUUUUUAUUUUCUCUAAGUGCACCUUGCUUCCUCUCGCUCAGGUGCAAUGAUACAGUAAUUGAAGGUUUUCAUCACCUCUUACCCACAAGGAAAGUCUUGCCUCACCCUUCAUCUCUAGAGGACAUCACAUUAGGAGAUUAAGACUGACUAUUGAUGAGUAACUUCAUCUUCCUGUGAAACUGCAAUGGGUGCCACCCAAAACAUAGAAGUCCAUUCUGAAGGAGGAAAGCUAAAGUAAAAUCUGAAUUUAUUCCCUUAUUUCUAGCUGAAUGCCUAAAAACCAGCACAGACAAAAACAAAGCAAAUAAAAACCUGGACCUCCUGAUGCAAGUGAAGAUUUUGUCAAGUACAACAUUGUGGAAAGGAUUUCAUGCACCAUCAUUUAGAAAUUCAUAUUUGAACAUACAGCCAAACUGCUGCUCCAACGCCCGAAAUGUCUUUGCUUUUACCAAAACCAAAUCCCACCUUUGCAAAAUAAUUUCUGGUGUUGAAUACUGCCGCCUUUUUUAAUGUUGUUUCAUUGUUACUUUUUAUUUUUCUCAAAUCCAAUACUUUUCUUUUAAUUUAUUUCAGAAAUGUGUUUUUAGAGAAUCUUAAAUAAGUACAGAAGCACUUUAUCUAUCUUAAGCAUGUUCUCUUCACCAGGGAUGGUCCCUCUCCCCCCUAAACUCUCAUGCAAUCUAUUUAUGUUCUGAUAAGGAAGCCAAUAACAAAAAAGUAUACAUUAAAACUGAGAAAGAUUAAUUCAAUAGAAACUCUUUCAUUAUGACAGUAUUGCAUUUGCAUUAGGCCAAGUGCAAUGUCCUGGGUCCGGACAAUCCCCAAUAUCAAUACAGACUGGGGGAUGGAUGGACCAGAGAAGGACUUUAGGAUUCUGGUAGAAGAAAAAUUAGACAUCAGCCGACAAUGUGUGCCUACAGCCCAGAAAGCUGACUGUAUCCUGGGCUGCAGCAAAAUAAACAUGGCCAGCAGGUCACAGGAGGUGAUUCUUCCCCUCUCUCCACUCUUGAGAGACACCACCUGGAGUACUGCGUCCAGCUCUGGGGUCCCCAGUACAAGAAACACAUGGACCUGUUGGAGUGGGCCCAGAGGAGGGCCAUGAAAAUGAUCAGAGGGCUGAAACACCUCUGCUAGGCUCAGGAUUGUUCAGCCUGGAGAAGAGAAGGCUCUGGGGAGACUUUAUUGUGGCCUCUCAAUAUAUAAAGAGGGCUUAAAGGGAAGAUGGAGCAAGACUUUUUACCAAGGCCUGUAGAGACAGGACAAGGGGCAACAGUUUUAAACUGAGAGUGUGUAAGUUUAGAUUGGAUAUAGGGAUACAUUUUUUACAAUGAGGGUGGUGAGACACUGGAACAGGUUGCCCAGAGAAGCUGUGAAUGUACCAUCCCUGGAAGUGCUCAAGUUCAGGCUGGACAGGGCCCUGAACAACCUGGUCUAGUGAAGGAUGCCCCUGCCCAUGGUGGGAAGGUUGGACUAGAUGAUCUUCAAAGGUACCUUCCAACCCAAACCAUUCUUUGAUUCUGUAAUUCUAUGACUUCUUACCGAUAGAUUUAACUCAUACAACAGAAUGUUUUCCUACGUAGACCACUUUGCAUGAGGAGUCAAAGAGGUAAGAGCCUGGUUUGUGCAUCUCGUUCCACUUUUUUUCACUCUCCAGCCUGGUUCUCCACUCCCCUGGUUCUUCCACUUCUUCUGUGUUAUCUCAAAAGACCUUCUGUUCCAAGGCUGUCUCAAAUGUCAUUUCUUUUCUGCAACCCUGUCCUUUUACGUGUCUUUCAUUCCAGUUCAGAGUUCACUGCUUUUUCCUGGUAACCUUGACCACUUGUGAUACUUCUCCCCUGCUUCAUUAAAUCUCUGUCCCACAAAGUUCUCCACUCACAUAUCUCACAUAGGCACGAGAAAUCCAGUGUAGUUCAGCCUAUAUGAAUGUAUACACUGCUUAUACGCUCGAAGUGAAAUGCUUUGCUGGGUUUGACAACCAUAGUCAGUCCCAUGGAGACUUAUGACCAUCUUUCAUGGAAACCACAAACAGCUUAGAGGAGUUUUUUCACUUUUAAUUAACCUAAUAAGAAAAUCUGACUUGGUUUUUAAAUGAUUUCAUUAACCAUUUUGGGCACUACAGAUUAGCAGCUAAGAACAAACCUUUCAACCGGCUGCUGGAGGAGGCUGAUUUUUAGAGCUAAUGACCAUCAUCUAAGGGCUUUCAGG